rnacentral:rRNA from 1 species
UACGAAGGGGCUAGCGUUGCUCGGAAUCACUGGGCGUAAAGCGCACGUAGGCGGAUUGUUAAGUCAGGGGUGAAAUCCUGGAGCUCAACUCCAGAACUGCCUUUGAUACUGGCGAUCUCGAGUCCGGGAGAGGUGAGUGGAACUGCGAGUGUAGAGGUGAAAUUCGUAGAUAUUCGCAAGAACACCAGUGGCGAAGGCGGCUCACUGGCCCGGUACUGACGCUGAGGUGCGAAAGCGUGGGAGCAAACAG